rnacentral:rRNA from 1 species
CAUGAAGCUGGAAUUGCUAGUAAUGGCAGGUCAGCAUACUGCCGUGAAUACGUUCCCGGGCCCUUGUACACACCGCCCGUCACACCAUGAGAGUUGGGAAUACCCGAAGCCUGUGAGCUAACUUUUAGAGGCAGCAGUCGAAGGUAGAAUCAAUGAUUGGGGUGAAGUCGUAACAAGGUAAC